rnacentral:lncRNA from 1 species
GGCUAUGGACCUAGGACUUCCUGCCCCAGGGAGACAAGUACAAGAGCAGCAGCAGAUGUAAUCAGGACCCCGUCUGGGGUAACAGCCUGGAGCAGAUGCUGUCUAUGAGUGGUCUCUAUGUGCCAGCUGUGGCAGGGUGAGUGGGUGGGCUGAUUAUGAUUAAAUACAGGAUUGAGACAGGCUCACACAUAUGGGAAAUGUUAAGCUGGUUUACUUGCUGUAUUUCUGGUCUAGCCUCAAAUUUUCUCCAGCUGGACACUUCUGCAUAGUGAGAAAGCACAAAUCCACUUGGUGGAACACUGGAACAUCCUCAAACUUCCGGACUGACAUAGAUAAUCCAGCGUGAGGUGAUGGAACAUUAGGGAACUCAGCUAUGCAGAGUUGGGGAGGCAGAGAUGGAAGAGAUGAAAAAGGAAACGAAGUUCAGAUAUCCAGAUGUUCUGAGCUGUGGACAGAAGCUGACAUUCCCAAACAACCAUAUUCUGACCCCAUCCAGAUGUUCUGGCCUUACUUCUCAGAUUUAACAAAACUUCAAUUCUGACCCUCAAGUUUGCAUAUAUAUGCAUAUGCCCUAUGGCUCCUUCUUCAUCACAUACCAACCAAAGUCAUUAGCAUGAAACCUUGCGUGAUUAAGCUUGACCAAAGUUUAUAAAGCAUUA